AUAUCUGCAGUCGAGCGAACGGACGAGAAGCUUGCUUCUCUGAUGUUAGCGGCGGACGGGUGAGUAACACGUGGAUAACCUACCUAUAAGACUGGGAUAACUUCGGGAAACCGGAGCUAAUACCGGAUAAUAUUUUGAACCGCAUGGUUCAAAAGUGAAAGACGGUCUUGCUGUCACUUAUAGAUGGAUCCGCGCUGCAUUAGCUAGUUGGUAAGGUAACGGCUUACCAAGGCAACGAUGCAUAGCCGACCUGAGAGGGUGAUCGGCCACACUGGAACUGAGACACGGUCCAGACUCCUACGGGAGGCAGCAGUAGGGAAUCUUCCGCAAUGGGCGAAAGCCUGACGGAGCAACGCCGCGUGAGUGAUGAAGGUCUUCGGAUCGUAAAACCUGUUAUUAGGGAAGAACAUAUGUGUAAGUAACUGUGCACAUCUUGACGGUACCUAAUCAGAAAGCCACGGCUAACUACGUGCCAGCAGCCGCGGUAAUACGUAGGUGGCAAGCGUUAUCCGGAAUUAUUGGGCGUAAAGCGCGCGUAGGCGGUUUUUUAAGUCUGAUGUGAAAGCCCACGGCUCAACCGUGGAGGGUCAUUGGAAACUGGAAAACUUGAGUGCAGAAGAGGAAAGUGGAUUCCAUGUGUAGCGGUGAAAUGCGCAGAGAUAUGGAGGAACACCAGUGGCGAAGGCGACUUUCUGGUCUGUAACUGACGCUGAUGUGCGAAAGCGUGGGGAUCAAACAGGAUUAGAUACCCUGGGGUAGUCCA
rnacentral:rRNA from 1 species